GAUGAACGCUGGCGGCGUGCUUAACACAUGCAAGUCGAACGAAGCACUUAAGACAGAUUCCUUCGGGAUGAAGAUUUUUGUGACUGAGUGGCGGACGGGUGAGUAACGCGUGGGUAACCUGCCUUAUACAGGGGGAUAGCAGUUGGAAACGACUGGUAAUACCGCAUAAGCGCACAGUACCGCAUGGUACAGUGUGAAAAACUCCGGUGGUAUAAGAUGGACCCGCGUCUGAUUAGCUAGUUGGCAGGGUAACGGCCUACCAAGGCGACGAUCAGUAGCCGACCUGAGAGGGUGACCGGCCACAUUGGGACUGAGACACGGCCCAGACUCCUACGGGAGGCAGCAGUGGGGAAUAUUGCACAAUGGGCGCAAGCCCGAUGCAGCAACGCCGCGUGGAGGAAGACGGUUUUCGGAUUGUAAACUCCUGUUGUUGAGGAAGAUAAUGACGGUACUCAACAAGGAAGUGACGGCUAACUACGUG
rnacentral:rRNA from 1 species